UUCCAGACUCCUACGGGAGGCAGCAGUGGGGGAUAUUGCACAAUGGGGACAACCCUGAUGCAGCGACGCCGCGUGAGCGAUGGAGUACUUCGGUAUGUAAAGCUCUGUCAGCAGGGAAGAGAAUGACGGUACCUGACCAAGAAGCCCCGGCUAAAUACGUGCCAGCAGCCGCGGUAAUACGUAGGGGGCAAGCGUUAUCCGGAUUUACUGGGUGUAAAGGGAGCGUAGACGGCAGUGCAAGUCUGAAGUGAAAGGCGGGGGCCCAACCCCCGGACUGCUUUGGAAACUGUGCUGCUGGAGUGCAGGAGAGGCAAGUGGAAUUCCUAGUGUAGCGGUGAAAGGCGUAGAUAUUAGGAGGAACACCAGUGGCGAAGGCGGCUUGAUGGACUGUAACUGACGUUGAGGCUCGAAAGCGUGGGGAGCAAACAGGAUUAGAUACCCCCGUAAAA
rnacentral:rRNA from 1 species